CCGCCUCUUCUGGGCGGAGCUCAAGAACCCGCGGGCAGCGGGCCACAGCCGCCUUACUGCCUCUGGUGCUUGUUUAGGUGCUGAGGCGGCGACUGCGCUGGUGGCUCCAAGGCCGAGCCCCAGGUGGAGGUGAACCUCCGCCGGCGCUGCCUCCCUGCAGCAGUCUGGGACGUCUCGGCGGUUCUGCGCAUUGCCGGGGUGAGGAUGCGGCUCUUCUUUCGGCUGCUCAAGCAGCCGGUCCCCAAACACAUCGAGCGCUACUCCCGCUUCUCUCCAUCGCCGCUGUCAAUCAAACAGUUCCUGGACUUCGAGGAUGCCAUUCCAACGCCAGCAGGCUGAAUGCGGUUGUGAAACACCUGAAAAUAAAACAAAAAUGGAACUCAGCAUUGCCGAAGGAAAAUCAAGGAGAUGUCUACCUACUGGAAGUUUCUGAGACAGAGUGCCUGUUUUCCUGUACAGGUUUUGCUACAUGGUUGUCACACUUAAUAGGAAUGUACGAGGUAUUCCUCCAAUUGCCCUUUAUUUAAAGUGUCAUCAGACAUGUUCUGGAUGGAGAAGACACAGAAGAACACAUAUGGACGAGAGAUAAUGCAUGUGGAAAAACUUCAUAUAUGUUUCUGCGCAAGGAGCUUCCUGUACUACUGGCUAACACAAUGAGAGAAGUUAAUCUUUUGCCAGAUAACUUGUUCAGAGUUGGUACAUGCAGAGCUUCCUUGAACUUUUAGAAUAUGAAAACAAGAGCCCAGAAGAUCCACGGGUUUUAGAUAACUUUCUCCAUGUUCUGAUUAAUAUCAGAAACAGACACAAUGAUGUUGUUCCUACAAUGGCCCAAGGCAUGAUUGAAUACAAGGAAAAGUUUGGGUUUGAUCCAUUUGUUAGCAGUAACAUCCAAUAUUUCCUGGAUCAUUUUUAUACCAACCGCAUUUCUUUCUGCAUGCUUAUUAACCAACACACACUUCUGUUUGGUGGUGACACUAAUCCUGCUCAUCCUAAGCACAUAGGGAGUAUCGAUCCCACCUGCAAUGUAGCUGAUGUGGUGAAAGGUUUCCAUCAAGGAGCUGCUUUUCAGCAGCCACUGUUAAGGACUGCCUGUGCACUAUGUUUUCCUGGGGCUGCUGAGGUCGCUGUUUGGUCAGAAGAUAUUUACUCAUGUUAUUUCACUUGUGUCUUUUCUCUUGAACUGUAUUGAUGUAAGGCCAGGGAAUGCUUUUUUACUUGUUUGAUAAUGUGUAUAGAACCUUGGAGUGCCUGAGAUAGAUGAUCUAUAAAUAUUCUUUCUCUGCUUGAUAAAUUUUAGACACUUAAAUUUGUUAAAUAAAUUUUAUUAUUAAAAAUGUGA